UACGGAGGGUGCAAACGUUGCUCGGAAUCAUUGGGCGUAAAGCGCACGUAGGCGGUCCGCUAAGUCGGGUGUGAAAUCCCUCGGCUCAACCGAGGAAGGGCAUCCGAAACUGACGGGCUUGAGUACGGAAGAGGGUCGUCGGAAUUCCCGGUGUAGAGGUGAAAUUCGUAGAUAUCGGGAGGAACACCAGUAGCGAAGGCGGAAGACCUGGG
rnacentral:rRNA from 1 species